rnacentral:tRNA from 1 species
GCCUGGGUGGCUCAGUUGGUUAAGUGUCUGACUUCGGCUCAGGUCAUGAUCUCAUGGUUCAAUGGUUCGUGGGUUUGAGCCCCACAUCGGGCU